rnacentral:rRNA from 1 species
UACGUAGGGCGCAAGCGUUUAUCCGGAAUUAUUGGGCGUAAAGAGCUCGUAGGCGGUUUGUCGCGUCUGCCGUGAAAGUCCGGGGCUCAACUCCGGAUCUGCGGUGGGUACGGGCAGACUAGAGUGAUGUAGGGGAGACUGGAAUUCCUGGUGUAGCGGUGAAAUGCGCAGAUAUCAGGAGGAACACCGGUGGCGAAGGCGGGUCUCUGGGCCGUAACUGACGCUGAGGAGCGAAAGUGUGGGGAGCGAACAGG